rnacentral:rRNA from 1 species
GUGUCAGCAGCCGCGGUAAUACGUAGGGGGCAAGCGUUGUCCGGAUUUACUGGGUGUAAAGGGCGCGUAGGCGGAUUUAUAAGUCAGUGGUGAAAGCCUGCAGCUUAACUGCAGAACUGCCUCUGAUACUGUAAAUCUUGAGUUCGGAAGAGAGAAGCGGAAUUCCAGGUGUAGUAGUGAAAUACGUAGAUAUCUGGAAGAACACCAGUGGCGAAGGCGGCUUCUUGGUCCGUAACUGACGCUGAGGCGCGAAAGCGUGGGGAGCAAACAGGAUUAGAAACCCCCGUAGUCC